UCAGCAGGGGGUGCUCAGUACCUGCAAAGGUGAGAAACCCAGCCAGGGCCCCAGGUCUCAGCCAGCUUCUGAUCGGACUGCCUGAAGGAGAACAGCCCCAAGAAAGCCUCUGAAACUGCAUUGGUCUUUCCGUGUAAGGAUCUCCCCACGGGUCUCUGGGUUAACUCCAGUAGAUCACCCUCACUUUUGCAGAAAAAGAAACAGACUCAAAGGAGAAACCAACUCAACCCCAGGCUGCACAGAUGAAAUAACAAAUGCGGAGUCAGAAUUCAAAUCUGGGUCCUUUUAACCCCAAAGGACGCAGCCAAACAUCCUGGGGUCUGAACACCCCCUCCAAACAACGGGUCAGACUCUCCUAGCUGGGACUCCUUCCAUAAUUAGAAGUAAUCCUUCCCUCGCCUGACCUCCGAAACUGUGAGUCCAGGCUCCAGGUUUGAACAUCUUGGUCAAAGAAGCCAGAAAAAUCCCAGUUACAGUUAUCCACUCCAUCAGCAUGAUUAACAACCACAAAUAUGUACAGGAGCCAUGAAAAUGGGCAGGAAGCUAAAGUCGCUGAGUAGGAAGAUGAAUCUAAUGGCCUCGGCCUUCAAGUGGACAUUCUGGUCCUUAAGGGAAAACCAAGCUGUGAGCACCUGGCAUUGGGGAUUGCAGAUCCUGGGCCUCCCAGAGGAGGAAGUGCAGAGAAGAGGACAGGGAGGGGAGCCGGAGCCCCCAGUUAGCAUUAUCAGCGAGGUGUCAGCCGUCUGUGCCCAGGAGACGGCAAGCCUGGCUUCCAUUUCUGGCCUCUCUACGUCGUGGUGUGGCUUUGGGCAAGUUGCUGAAACCGUGUGCGUGCCAGUGUCCUCACCUGCAACAAAAGGAUGACGGUGCUUUCCCAUAGGGUGGUUUGAGGAUUUUAUAGGCAUUGAUAAGUAUAAAUGGCUAACACUUCUUUUUUUAAUAAAAAGAGUGUAUUAUGCUACUUUUCCAUUA